rnacentral:misc_RNA from 1 species
GUAGGUGAACCUGCGGAAGGAUCAUUAACACGUAUCCAACGUUAAACAACCCUGUGAACCUUGAACGUGCUCUCGUACACGCUCUAGCAGCAAUCCCUGGUAAAUCAUUGUUGACCAGCUAUUGAGUCUGGGACUUCUGCUAGAAAACCAUACGAUACGAGCGCCAGAGUAAGUGCGGCCUGGCAUCCUAGCAAUCUGUCAGUGGUUGCGCAAGGAUGGCGCAGUAAACGAUCGCUGUAGGCCCACACGG